UGUAGGCGGAUGCGCAAGCCGGGGGUGAAAUCCCUGGGCUUAACCCGGGACGUGCUUUUGGAACUACGCAUCUUGAGACGGGCAGGGGCAGGUGGAAUUCCAGGUGUAGAGGUGAAAUUCGUAGAGAUCUGGAGGAACACCGGCGGCGAAGGCGGCCUGCUGGGCCCGAUCUGACGCUGAGGCGCGAAAGCGUGGGGAGCAAACA
rnacentral:rRNA from 1 species